GGUGUGGGGGUGUGGGGGGGGUGGGGAGUCAGGUCAUGGAGACUGGCCAGGUGGAUGAUGUUAAAGACUACAAGAAAAUUCCAUCUGUAGGUCAUCCCAAUGAGGAGAGCACAUUGGAGAUACCUUAAUAGCAACAUUUGGCUAAAGGAAAAUCCCAGUGACAAUGACAUAGGAUGGUGUUUCUUCUUCAGGAUCCAGGCAAGUGGUUGAGUGCUCUAGACAGGGGUGAGGGCAGCGGCAGUAGGGCCCGUGUCAGCUGGCACAACGGCCAGGUGAGAGACACAUCAGGCUGCUGACGGCACCUCCCCCAGAGGGCCAGGGGCCGGCUUCACUCAGCAUGGGCACAGGGGUGCCACUGUUCCCCUGCACAGAGACCUGCUUGGAGCAAGGAGUGGGGUGCUCAGUGGGGGAUUUCCUAUUACGAGAGGCAGCACUGGCGACCAGACUCAAGGUAUAUAGUUACUGCCGGUUUCCUGAGCUGCCAAGGCCAAGACCAGUUUUACUAAGUCACCAGGUGUUAUUUUUAGACCCAGACUCACCGGGGAACCUGUGAUUUCCAAGCUUGGCCGGGGCCCCUGGGAUCUCCACGGAGGAGCCCAGGCCUUGAAGGCAGAGAAGAGGUGCCAGUGGCAGCUCAACACAACAUCCUUUGCUAAGCGGAAUGUGUGGCUCCUGCAGAAAGCCCAGUUUUAGGCCAUGUGGCAUGUGUUGGAGCUGAGCUGGUGUCUGACGGUGGAGACGAAUGAGGAGCCAUGCUCUGGCCAACGUGUAGCUGCACGUGGUGUGUGGCAUUUUGGGGCACUUAGGGAAGGGACAGCACAGAGUGUCUCCCCCCAGUUGGCUUGUUGGCCUCACACAUUCUCUGCAAACCCUAUUGGCAAGGUGGCGGGUCCCCUUCACCAGCUAGGGCCCACAAGCUCCAAAGUGUUUUCUCAAGGUUACACGACCAGGAGAGCUAAUGUAAGGAUCAUGGGGAUUUGGACCCAGUUCUGUCCUUCCUGUAUACCCACGGUUCUUAAUCAGAGGGGAGCAUCAGAAGUACUACAGAGCCUUUUAGAGAACCAUUCCCACCUACCACCCCCCAACUCCUGCCUCUGGAACUGGACUCGGAUCAGGGAAAGGGGAUGUGCAUCGGGCAUGCACACAUUUUAACAAAUGCUACUCUGAAGGUUGCGACGCCAGCGGCUGGGUGAGAGCUAGCGGUGCCCUCCUCUCUUACUCAUACAGGAUUUCCAACACUUGUGGGUUGCCUGAGGUGUUAGUCCCUGCUUUGCACACAGUAGGAAUACCGUAAAUAGUGGCUACUGAUGUAACUGUGUCUUUGGAAAAUUGAAUAUGGUUUUAGGCUGGUUCCUUCCCUUGCUGGGAGGACAGCAUUCAUGUUUGAUUUUAAAAAUACAGAAAAGGGAUCUCGAAUAGAGGUUGGGGUUCCAGUGUGUCUUGCUUGGUUGUACACACUACUGAAGAGGCACCUCUCCUUCCAGUGUGAACAAGGCAAGGUCCAAGUUCAUCUCUAUGGGAUGGGGUCUCUGGCUUUUUUAGCAACACCUGGAAAGCCAAAACAAGUCUCUAUGAUACAAGCAUAAUGGAUAUUCACAACUGGUGAAGUUCAGCCAGGCAGGUGGGAUCUGCUGGUAGGGGAGGGGGAUGGGACUAGCAUGGAAUGGGGGGCUGGGCUUGGUUCUGGGGAGCAGUCCCAUUUCUACCACCUUCUAGACCUGGGCUUUCUCCCUCAGUUUUUUUCAACUGAUAAACAGGGAUACACUAGCACCCUUCACAGGCUUGUCAUGGGCAAUUCAACAAGUCAACAUGUGCCUAGAAUAGUGAUAAUUCAGAACAAGCACAAUAAAGGUGAAGAAUUCAUGUUAUUAAACUUAGAUCUUGCACCCAAAAGAUUUCUAUAAUAGAAAAAAUACAAUUCACUGCACAAAAAAAUAAUACUGCAUAUUCGGGAAGUGUCUGAAGCAUAGGAUUGCGCUUCAGUUCUGAACAUGUCAGUUUUGAGAAUUCAUGUUAAAACACUUAGCUGUCUUUGCUUUUAUCUUUGAAGCAUUUUCCCAACAGAAACGAAUUUGUACAAUAUUCUAGAGACGCAUGUGUCUGUCAGUGUCCCCAGUGUGUCGAAAGACGACUAGCUGCUGAGUUUAAGCGACUUGCUCAAAGUUUAGGGAGGGCUACAUUAGCUGUUGGCAUUUGCUGACUCUAUAUUUCACACUCCAAACUCGACCCCCCAAGCGAACAAGAUCCACUGAGGGCCUCUGGACAGCUUGGUGGCAAGAAGACAACCAGAGCUGGUCCCCGCACCACAGACAGCAUCAGGGGCCCAGGAGCAGAGAAGGAAACAGAGUGGAGAUACUUACGCCAUGCUUAACGGUUUUUGCCGCGUGGGCUGCUUUCUUUUUUGCAUCAUAAUGAGUCAAAAUGUCAAUAAUGGCCAUAAAGUACACCUCUUUCCUGGGAGAGUCUGUAAAGGGAUGAGAGCAGUGAAUGUGGGACAAAUGCCACCCCCUGGAGAAGCGUGCCCUGGAGGGUGCAGGGUUCAGGACAGGGAUUGGAAGAGUCUGAAAACAAAGGCCCUGUACACUGAAGUUCAAACACAUUCUAAGGAAAAAAAAAACAACAACAACACAUUUUUUAUGCCCUCUUCUGUGUUUAUGGGAUGAGGAGAGAAGCAAAAUGGGUGAGGGGGGUUGGGGAAUACAAGGCUUCCAGUUACAGAAUGAGUAAGUCACAGGAAGGAAAAAGGCAUAGCAUAAGGAAUGUAGGCAGGGAUGUGGCAACAAUGCUGUGGACAGAUGGUAGCCACACUUGUGGUGAGCACAGCAUCACAUAUAAACUUGUCUAGUCAGUAUGUUCUACACCUGAAACUAAUGUAACUGCGUCAGCUAGCCUCGAAUAAAAAAAAGUGAUUAAAAAUAAAAUAGUAAUUUGCGAAAAAAAGUCCACAUAACUCCUGCGUAUCCCUGUUAAAUAGCUUAAUUCUCUGUUCUGAAUUCUCUCUCCAUUUAAAAGGCAAAAAAAAAAAAAAAAAAAAAAAAA